rnacentral:rRNA from 1 species
AGAGUUUGAUCAUGGCUCAGAACGAACGCUGGCGGCGUGCCUAACACAUGCAAGUCGAACGCGAAAGUGGUCUUCGGACCAUGAGUAGAGUGGCGCACGGGUGAGUAACGCGUAGGUAAUCUACCUCUGUGUCUGGGAUAACAUCGCGAAAGUGGUGCUAAUACCGGAUACGGUUGGUUUUCCGCGAGGGAAACCGAGUAAAGGUGCCCUCUGAUUCAAGGUACCGCAUGGAGAUGAGCCUGCGUACCAUUAGCUAGUAGGUGGGGUAACGGCCUACCUAGGCUGCGAUGGUUAGCGGGUCUGAGAGGAUGAUCCGCCACACUGGAACUGGAACACGGACCAGACUCCUACGGGAGGCAGCAGUGAGGAAUUUUGCGCAAUGGGGGAAACCCUGACGCAGCGACGCCGCGUGGGUGAGGAAGGUUUUCGGAUCGUAAAGCCCUGUCAGGUGGGAAGAAGUGUGUGAUGGUUAAUACCCAUUGCAUUUGACGGUACCACCAGAGGAAGCACCGGCUAACUCCGUGCCAGCAGCCGCGGUAAUACGGAGGGUGCAAGCGUUGUUCGGAAUUACUGGGCGUAAAGGGCGCGUAGGCGGCUAAUCAAGUCAGUUGUGAAAUCCCACGGCUCAACCGUGGAGGUGCAAUUGAAACUGGUUGGCUUGAGUACCGGAGGGGAAUGUGGAAUUCCCGGUGUAGAGGUGAAAUUCGUAGAUAUCGGGAGGAACACCGGUGGCGAAGGCGACAUUCUGGACGGAUACUGACGCUGAGGCGCGAAAGCGUGGGGAGCAAACAGGAUUAGAUACCCUAGUAGUCC